UCUCGGCUUAUCACCGGCAGUCCCCCUAGAGUGCCCAACUUAAUGAUGGCAACUAGGGGCGAGGGUUGCGCUCGUUGCGGGACUUAACCCAACAUCUCACGACACGAGCUGACGACAGCCAUGCAGCACCUGUGCAGCGGCCCCUAAGGGAAUUGCCAUCUCUGGCAACGUCCACUGCAUGUCAAGACUGGGUAAGGUUCUUCGCGUUGCAUCGAAUUAAACCACAUGCUCCACUGCUUGUGCGGGUCCCCGUCAAUUCUUUUGAGUUUCACCCUUGCGAGCGUACUCCCCAGGCGGUAUACUUAUCGCGUUAGCUUCGGCACAACCGGGGUUGAGUCCAGUUACACCAAGUAUACAUCGUUUACGGCAAGGACUAC
rnacentral:misc_RNA from 1 species